GAAUAUUGGGCAAUGGGCGAGAGCCUGACCCAGCCAUGCCGCGUGCAGGAAGAAGGCCUUCUGGGUUGUAAACUGCUUUUAUCUGGGAAGAAAACGCCCCUGCGGGGGUAACUGACGGUACCAGAUGAAUAAGCACCGGCUAACCCCGGUCCAGCCGCCGCGGUAAUACGGAGGGUGCAAGCGUGGUCCGGAUGUAUUGGGUUUAAAGGGUGCGUAGGCGGCCCGUUAAGUCAGCGGUGAAAUCCCAGGGCUCAACCCUGGAACUGCCGUUGAUACUGGCGGGCUUGAGUUCGGUCGAGGCGGGCGGAACUGGUGGUGUAGCGGUGAAAUGCAUAGAUACCACCAAGAACCCCGAUUGCGAAGGCAGCUCGCUGGGCCGAAACUGACGCUGAGGCACGAAAGCGUGGGGAGCGAACAGG
rnacentral:rRNA from 1 species